AGAGCCAUUUUACAUUUUCGUGCGAAUUUCUAAGAUUUUGGAAGCAUGAAUUACUAUCUUAAGCAACACCCAGAGAUUAUUUAAUAACUGCGAAAGAUAGGUCAAUCCUUGGUGUUGACCAUUAAUGAAACGGAUUUACUAAAACUCUUUUGCUUAAUUCACAGUGCCCCAUCUCCCACAACCAUUUUACGGAAAAAUUGCCGCAGACUCAUUUUCAAAGUCCUGUAUCUAUUAUUUAUGCUCAUAUAAUAAGCUUAAAAAUAUAUAGUAAUCAUCGGACAUAUAUUCUUGUAGUCCAUUAAUGAAAUAGAUUCUUGAAUUUCAUUACCAUUAUUGAGUAAAAUCUAAAAAUAAUUUGGCAAAUUUGAAGAUUAACGUCACAUUUUGAUCGUGGUUUUUGGUUUAAAAACACAGCAAUAACUGCAAUAAAAGUAUCCCAAAAUAAAGAAUAUUCAUUGUAGAAUUGAUUUCUACAGUUAUUGUUUAAAUAUUAGUAACCACUUUGUCAAAAUAUUGAUGUGAAUAUCAGUAUAAAUUACAAUACGCAAGCCGACAUCGAUUAGUAUGGCGCGAGCGCCCGUCAAGGUAGGACCUGUGUCAUUUUUCCCGCCGUGACGUUUACGUGCGUUCGUGUCGUGAAGCGGUGAUUUGUACGGCGACCAAAUGCAUUUGAUACUAUGCCGAGAGGCUGUUUCGAGUCGGCCGGCCGAGCAGAAAUUGAAAUGAUGAAUUUUAAUUUCUUUGACGGAUCUGGGUGUAACUAUGUAUAAUAUGUAGGUACCAUGGUAUUUAAUUUAAUAAAUAAAUUAUAAAAAAGUAUAUUCAUUAUGCUAGCACCCUUAACACAAGCAUAUUGGUUGCCUACUUUUGGACUAGAUGGCGCUGUGAAAUUGUCCAAAGAUUUGUUUAUUUAUUUAUCCGCUUUGAGUUUUGUUUCGUGAAGAAGAAAAAGAAGCGUUUUGUUUCGAGAGGGAAGCUUUGUUGUUAAAUCUAUACUAAUAAAAGAGGAAAUAUUUAAUUGUUUGUUUUUUUGUUUGGAGGCAAUAGGCUCCGAAAAAAAAUUCUUUCACGAUUUAGAAUCCUAAUUUUUUUCUAUGUAGGCUAUAAAAUAUUUUCAAAAACUUUAGUCCAAAAUCUUUGAUAAAAUUCGACGUUUAAUAAAUAAAUUAGAUAACAUAUUAGUAAUACUUUUUUUUUCAGUACGAUUUUAGUACUUGUUUUUCAGAAAUUCUACGAUUUAACUAAACUUAUUAAGUGUUUAUAUUUUAUGCAUAAUUUAUUAACUUCUAAAAUAUACAUAUAUCCUAUUGAUAGAUGACGUGCUUCGUAUUUUAUUAAAAUUAUUACCUGACUAGGUUAAAAAGGUGUGGAAUGUUAUUUUGGAGAUAACUUGGUUCCAUAGAAAUAUAGAGAGAUGCUAAGUAGGUAAUGCGCUGAGUUCGAAACUCAGUGUAUUAUUAGAAAUUCACACACACAAAGAAAUCAAAUUAUGUGCUCAUUAUCCACUGCGGUAUCAGUAUUCAACGUUCGAAUAAUCUUUAAUACUAUGCAAGCAAUAUAAACUGUUUACAUAAUGACGUCGCUACUGUCAUCAUUGCUUUCACAAGCAAUAUGUUCCAAUUUGUCCCAUGUCACAUUUCCCUUUAGUUUCUGUAAUCUGUGCUUGUUUCUAAGUUGAUAUCAAUGAAAUAUUCCUUAGUACUUUUGAUUUAAUUUUUUUUUAAUUUUGACACGUGUUUGAAAAAUCAAGGUCAGAUAACAAUAAAAUAACAAGUGAAAACGUAACAUUGCAUUGCAACUCGCAAUUUCGCAAUAUUGAUGAGGAGAUUCCAUUGGAAAGUCUGUAUUCAUUCCUAGGAUUCCCCUAACACCAUCAAAUUCAAGAGAAUUCAAGAGAGUGCAGUUUCCCAUCUCAUGCUUAUGGACCACGGUUUAAAAUAGUGUGGUUGCAUAGAGCCUGCAACGGGCAACCGCGUGCACAGCUGCUCAUACUAAUUUUCGAUACAAAACUCUGUCUGUUAAUGGAUCUGGAGGAGAUGCAAUGGCCACCUCCGUAACAAAACAAUAGAACCCUAUGGAGUUUGGGCUUGUGUGAUUCGCCUUGACGAAUAGUUCGUAUCCAGCGUCCGAUGAUGGAGCUGUAAGGGGGCAGAUUUUUUUUUUCACUAUGUGACUGUCUUUAUUUUGUACUUAAUAUAUAUUUUACAUAUUAUACCUAUUCGUGUUUCAUUAUGAAUCGAAAUAUAAAAGACAAUAAACUCUAUUAAAAUUUUAAAUUAAUUUAUCAAGUUUGAAUACCUCAUUCUACCUUAAAAUUAAUUGGCUCUGUGCACGAUUACAGCGCCAACUAGCGUCCACAACUUUGUGUGCUCUGUCACAUUGACAUUUAGGUCGUAUAUUUGUGAAAUGAUAUCGAAAUGAAAAAAUAACAAAUAUUUUCAACUAAUAAAUUGUUGUGAUACCACGAUUUGGAUGGAAAAAAGGUUUUGAAAUCAUUUUGGUCAUUCAAAUCAAAUCCAAAAAGUGUGUUUAAUUUUGAUUGUGUCAGGGUUUGUUUACUUCAUUUAUAAUUGUAGUUUUACAGUAAAACAAAAAGAAAAAGCUACUUUAACGGUUUCAUUAUAUAAAAGUAAAUAUAUUUAAAUGUUCCUGUAUCGCUAGUAAUAAAUUAAAUAUCGUUUUCAGAUCGAAAUGAGUAUUGUUUUGAAGACCGGGUUUGUGAGUUUUACAAUAUCAAAUUCCAACCACAAACCGUAUUUUAAGGAAAGUUGUUGGUAUUGGCUGGACAAGUCCGAGAUGUAGAAGAAUUAAGAACAAAACAAGGGCAGAGUUCAAUAAUUCACGCUCUCAUCAUAAGGCAAACAUCUGUGCACAACAACUACUGUGACUCAUUUUUGUACUACCACGUUGUAUAGUCUAGUUAUUUCCAAAUUGUAAACGGCUAUUAAACCAGCCCUAUCGAAAUACAGUCCACUCUUUUAUUUAAGUUCCCAGUAGGACCCUUUUCAUGCGAUUAGUUAAUGAUAUUAAAAUGUAUUAAGUAGAAUCGCUUUGCCAUUGACAGAUACAACUGAUGACAGAGCUUACAUUAUUUCUACUUUUGACCACCAUGAGCGCUGCGAUCGAUUAUGUUACCCCCACCUAGUACUUCGCACCCAGCGAAUAACUUAAAUCAAGUCUUAAUACGGUCACGGCUCAAGAUUUUUUUGUCCAUUUCAGCGUUCUUUUUACUCUUUUGACGUUGCGUUGACAGCUUUUACCUAAAUUCGCGCGGAAUAUUUUUGUGAAAUGGCUCUUAAGGUCU